GACAGUGUGGCAUAGUGGUUUGAGUGUUGGACUAUGACUCUGGAAACCAGGGUUCAAAGUCCCAGCUUGGCCA